AGCGGCGUACGGGUGCGUAACACGUGUGCAACCUGCCUCUAUCUGGGGGAUAGCCUUCCGAAAGGAAGAUUAAUACCCCAUAAUAUAAUGAUUGGCAUCAAUUAUUAUUGAAAACUCCGGUGGAUAGAGAUGGGCACGCGCAAGAUUAGAUAGUUGGUGGGGUAACGGCCCACCAAGUCGAUGAUCUUUAGGGGUCCUGAGAGAGAGAUCCCCCACACUGGUACUGAGACACGGACCAGACUCCUACGGGAGGCAGCAGUGAGGAAUAUUGGACAAUGGGUGGAAGCCUGAUCCAGCCAUCCCGCGUGAAGGACGACGGCCCUAUGGGUUGUAAACUUCUUUUGUACAGGGAUAAACCUCCCCUCGUGAGGGGAGCUGAAGGUACUGUACGAAUAAGCACCGGCUAACUCCGUGCCAGCAGCCGCGGUAAUACGGAGGGUGCAAGCGUUAUCCGGAUUUAUUGGGUUUAAAGGGUCCGUAGGCGGGCCCGUAAGUCAGUGGUGAAAUCUCGCAGCUUAACUGCGAAACUGCCAUUGAUACUGCGGGUCUUGAGUGAAUUUGAAGUGGCUGGAAUAAGUAGUGUAGCGGUGAAAUGCAUAGAUAUUACUUAGAACACCGAUUGCGAAGGCAGGUCACUAAGAUUCAACUGACGCUGAGGGACGAAAGCGUGGGGAGCGAACAGGAUUAGAUACCCUGGUAGUCCACGCCGUANACGAUGCUAACUCGUUUUCGGGCCGCAAGGCUCGGAGACCAAGCGAAAGUGAUAAGUUAGCCACCUGGGGAGUACGUC
rnacentral:rRNA from 1 species